AGAGUUUGAUCCUGGCUCAGAAUGAACGUUGGCGGCGUGGAUUAGGCAUGCAAGUCGCACGAGAAUCGUAGCAAUACGAGGACAGUGGCGGAAGGGAGAGGAAUAGGUAGAAAUCUACCCUCGGGACGGGGAUAGCGGCGGGAAACUGCCGGUAAUACCCGAUAACAUCUUCGGAUCAAAGGUGUGAUUCCGCCUGGGGAUGAGUCUACUUCCUAUUAGCUUGUUGGCGGGGUAAUGGCCCACCAAGGCAACGAUGGGUAGCGGGUGUGAGAGCAUGACCCGCCUCACUGGGACUGAGAACUGCCCAGACACCUACGGGUGCUGCAGUCGAGAAUCUUCGGCAAUGGGCGCAAGCCUGACCGAGCGACGCCGCGUGCGGGAUGAAGGCCUUCGGGUUGUAAACCGCUGUCGUAGGGGAACAAAUUUAUGGGGGUUCUCCCUUGUAAUUGAGUGAUCCUAGGAGGAAGGAGAGGCUAAGCUCGUGCCAGCAGCCGCGGUAAGACGAGCUCUCCGAACGUUAUUCGGUAUCACUGGGCUUAAAGAGUUCGUAGGCGGCCUAACAGGUGAGGUGUGAAAGCCCUCGGCUCACCGGGGAACUGCGCUUCAACCGUUAGGCUGGAGGGAGAUAGAGGUGAGCGGAACAGAUGUGGAGCGGUGAAAUGCGUUGAU
rnacentral:rRNA from 1 species